CUUGGGGGUAUUUUGUACUUUUUUAGUUUUUUUUUUUAAACGUCCACUUUACGACAAAUAGUCACACUCAAUGUACUGUUGCACCACUGUCCCAGGUUAGGGGAGGGUUGGAUGCCCGCUAACAUGUUCAACAUUGCCAAAUUCUGUAUGUGCCUGCAUGUCCGAAGUCAGGAGCGUGUAAUUCAGUGGUUAUACAUAUUUGUUUUUCGUUCGUUUUUUUUUGUGCAUAACUUAGGCCGUUAGUUUUCUCUUUUGAAUUGACUUACAGUUGUCAUUUCGGGGACUUGAAUAGCUGACUUUGUGGUAUGGGCUUUGUUCAUUGUUGAAGGCAGUACGAUGACCUAUAGUUGUUCAUUUCAUUGUUCGUUUUUUUUUUAUCUUCAAGGUAUAAAGGUUAUGCUUAAUUUCCUCGAACAUUACAGUCUUUUUACUGUGUGCCGAAAUCCAACGGAUUUGUCGUUCUGUAUAUUAUAAGCAUCUUUUAAAAAGUCUAUACCCAUCGAUAUGAAUU
rnacentral:lncRNA from 1 species